UUCAUGAGCAGAGAUGAGAAAGCAAAAUGUAUGUCUAGAGACCGGGAAAUACCGACUGGAAUACAGGGUUUGUGUUAGAAGUCAUGGGACACAAUGCUGGAAAGGGGAUGGACUACGGAUGAUGAGUCAGCAAAGGCUGCUGAGAAGGAGCCGUCAGAUAGGUAGAAGAGAUCAAUAACACUUUAUUUUCAAAAAAAGUCAUCCUCCAGUCUUCACAAACAUCAUACAUUCCUGUUUUUCACUCAUUUGCUUUUUAAAUCAAUCUGGCCUCUUCCUCGAGACGCUUUUUGCCCAUUAAGUGAGCAGCUACCAGGGCCGCGAAGUAGAAGAAAUGCUAGGUCACAGGGACACAGGAGAGGAUUGCCAAAGGCAUGCUGGGCACAUACAGAAUGAAGAGAGAACUUUUUUUUUCUCCAAGAAGAGUCUGAAGAACUUUGUUAAUUAACUACAAAAUGAGCCAAGAUUGCAUUUUAUUUUUGUUUUGCAGAUUGCCUCAGUGCGAAAUAUUUGGCUGUCCAGUAAAUG